UACGGAGGGUGCGAGCGUUGUCCGGAAUCACUGGGCGUAAAGGGCGCGUAGGCGGCGCGAGCAGUCGGCGGUGAAAGCCCGGAGCUCAACUCCGGGUCGGCCGUCGAUACUCUCGUGCUUGAGCACUGUGGAGGCAGGUGGAAUUCCUGGUGUAGCGGUGAAAUGCGCAGAUAUCAGGAGGAACACCGGUGGCGAAGGCGGGUCUCUGGGCCGAUACUGACGCUGAGGAGCGAAAGCGUGGGGAGCGAACAGG
rnacentral:rRNA from 1 species